UACAGAGGUCUCAAGCGUUGUUCGGAUUCAUUGGGCGUAAAGGGUGUGUAGACGGUAUGUUAAGUCCGCUGUUAAAUUUCCCGGCCUAACUGGGAACCAGCGGUGGAUACUGAUGUGCUAGAGGAUGGAAGAGAGAAGUGGAAUUCCCGGAGUAGCGGUAAAAUGCGUAGAUCUCGGGAGGAACACCAAUGGCGAAGGCAGCUUCUUGGUCCAUAUCUGACGUUGAGACACGAAAGCGUGGGGAGCAAACAGG
rnacentral:rRNA from 1 species